CCCGCCAGAGAACUACAAGUGAAAAACUUAAAACUCAAAGGACUUGGCGGUGUCCCACAUUCAGUCUAGAGGAGCCUGUCCUAUAAUCGAUACCCCUCGUUCUACCCAACCCCAACUAGCAUUACCAGCUUAUAUACCGCCGUCGACAGCUUACCCCAUGAGGGUAUAAUAGUAAGCACAAUAGCCCCCGCUAACACGUCAGGUCAAGGUGUAGCUAAUGUUGCGGCAGAGAUUGGCUACAUUUUUUAUACUAAAAAAUAACGGAAUGUUACAUGAAAACUAACAUAAAGGCGAAUUUAGUAGUAAAGUAAACAAGAGAGUCUACUUUAAUAAUGCUCUGGGACGCGCACACACC
rnacentral:rRNA from 1 species